rnacentral:rRNA from 1 species
UACGUAGGGCGCAAGCGUUUAUCCGGAAUUACUGGGCGUAAAGAGCUCGUAGGUGGUUUGUCGCGUUGUUCGUGAAAACUCACAGCUCAACUGUGGGCGUGCGGGCGAUACGGGCAGACUGGAGUACUGCAGGGGAGACUGGAAUUCCUGGUGUAGCGGUGGAAUGCGCAGAUAUCGGGAAGAACACCUAUGGCGAAGGCAGCUCUCUGGGACGGUACUGACGCUGAGACGCGAAAAGCGUGGGGGAGCGAACAGG